rnacentral:rRNA from 1 species
AUUGAACGCUGGCGGAAUGCUUUACACAUGCAAGUCGAACGGCAGCACGGACUUCGGUCUGGUGGCGAGUGGCGAACGGGUGAGUAAUACAUCGGAACGUGCCCGGACGUGGGGGAUAACUACUCGAAAGAGUGGCUAAUACCGCAUACGAUCCAAGGAUGAAAGCGGGGGAUCGCAAGACCUCGCGCGUUUGGAGCGGCCGAUGGCAGAUUAGGUAGUUGGUGAGGUAAAGGCUUACCAAGCCUGCGAUCUGUAGCUGGUCUGAGAGGAUGAUCAGCCACACUGGGACUGAGACACGGCCCAGACUCCUACGGGAGGCAGCAGUGGGGAAUUUUGGACAAUGGGCGAAAGCCUGAUCCAGCCAUUCCGCGUGCAGGAUGAAGGCCCUCGGGUUGUAAACUGCUUUUGUACGGAACGAAAAGGCUCUUGCUAAUACCAGGAGUCCAUGACGGUACCGUAAGAAUAAGCACCGGCUAACUACGUGCCAGCAGCCGC